GGAUCUCGACGCGUUGAUGUGGUUCUAGAAAUUCUGGUCCUUCUGGACUCUUCGUUUCAUUUCGAAGCCAAGCUCUCAGACGUCUGCUUCUUUCUAAAAAACUCUAGCCCUCUCCUUCCCGAACACACCUCCUGCAAAAAUCUCUGCUGCGUCUUCUUCGAUUAACACUUUUGAAACAAGAAAUUAAAUCGAUCUCCAAAAGUUCAACCCCCAAACUGGAUCAGGAUCCAUCACCAUCUCGCGGUGCCUUGCUCAGAUCGGCUCUGCACUCAUCAUCGAUGACUUUGCCUUCACGGAGGACUCCGCAAAUCCCAUCACCGAUAAAGGGAGUGCUAAUAUACAGAUUUUUUGGGAUUUUUUGUUUUUGAACGGAAGUUAGCAUGAGAUUUUCACAUGACAUGGAUGAUGAGUAGAGAAACUCAUCUGGAGAAUGAACCCACCAAGACAAUGGCUGAUGUUACUUUAAAGGAGCUGAGAUCAGCAUGUCACAACAGUCCCACAAGCAGAUGCCCAAACUGUACACAUCACAUUAGGCAAG